GUGUUGUAUGAGAAGAGAGAAGGUUAACACUCCCUUUGAUAAGGAUGAAAAAGGUUCUGGUGGCCUUUACAGAAUAUAUAGUUAAGGCAUUGCCACCUAUUCUGUGCCAUCUAACCAAGUGAGAUA